rnacentral:pre_miRNA from 1 species
UACAUAUUCCCUCCGUUUAACAAAAGAUGUCUCAAGUUUGUCAAAAUUUGAAUGUAUUUAGACAUGACUUAGUGUAUACAUGCAUUUAAAUUUAGUCAAGUUGAGACAUCCUUUGUUGGACGGAAAAAGUAUUAA